rnacentral:lncRNA from 1 species
UAAAAUACACGAAAGGAAUGUAUUGAUUACGUCCAUGUAGGAAAACAAAUGGUGAUAUUCCUUUAAUCCAAACCAAGUGAAUCUGACAUUAUGUGUAUUUCACCUCUGCACUGAGUUUGGCUCCAUGCAGCCGCCCGUGAUUUCUACCCUCGAUGGUCCCCUGUCGAACUCCCUCGUCAAAGCCCUCCUGAUAACCUUCAACAUGAAACCUAAAAGAGAAAAGCAUAUUUAUGAGCCUAAAUGUAAAUUAAUAACAGCUAAGGACACUGAACUAACUUAAACACACACUUACACACUGGACUACAUUGAUGAACACUAACUUCGUGACGCAACAGUUUGUGCGUGACUUUAGUUAACGUUACCUGUCAUCGGCCAUGAUGAUGGAGUCAAACAAAUCAUCAUUAUUGGGCUCAAAUGCCAUUUUUACAUUAAAAUAGCUUGCUUUCCUGAUCAGAAGAGUUUACGGGUGGUCUUCCGGAAUCGUUCUUCUUCGGUCCUAGCCGAAUGUUAACACCGAUGGGACUGAACCAACGCGCCGUCUACUGGAAGGAAAGCUAAAGGUUUGCAUCACUAACUGUGUGUAUUUCUGAUCAGAUCUUGAAAUAAGUUGGAUAUCCGGUUGUUUGUACUGAAAGAAAGACGUCAGUCGGUAACAAUAAUAUUUAAAGAUUUACCGGUUUGCAUUUUUAGAUCUGCACUGAAGAGUGAAGACCAAAUACGUAUUUUCAGGUGUCAAAUACGAUGUAAGCCAUGUCUGGCUGCGUACAGAUGUCGUAGCCGGACGGCUUCACUCCAGUCAUUUGCCAAAUGUGGACCAGAGUCGGGCAACGGGAGGCUCUCCACGCCGAUACUUCCACAAACAGUGACAAAGACAGGUGUGUGUUGGGAUAACAGUGAUUGCGGAGGCUACGGGUUCGCUGGCAGUGGAGGUUGGAGCAGAUGCAUUCAUGUGGCUGCUUGUGGCUCAGACCAGAUUUCAAAAGCAUGAUCUCUGUUCUUGUUUGAAGAAACCGCUCUUCGUGCAAAACACACGAAAUAGAUGAUGUCAUUUGAGGCAGUUUAGGAGUAAGAGGGGGAUGGUCCCAAGAGAGAGUCGCUUUUUGCUGGAAGUCUGAGAGUCUUCAAUCCCUAUGCGAUCACUAUCCCAGUUGCGCUUAAUAUAUCCGCCUGAUUUGCCGACAAUAAUUUAGCUGUCAAUGCUUUUCAAAUUGAUAUUCAAAUGGAGAAAAUCUUACAUUUUACCAUUUACCAAUCACCAGUCUUUAUGUUGUGCAUUGUACAAUGCUUUGCAAUAAAACCAUGUUUUUUUCAUAUAA